GGCAUGACCAGGCAAAGGUCUCAAAGCUUCAUUCUAGUGGGAGGACAUUCCAGCUACCUACUGCUGUGUAACAGAACACCAGCACUUCGACUGCAAACAGAAGGAUGUAUCAGAUCCCACAGUUCUCUGUCAGUGGUCCUCCGCCCAGAAGCAUGGACUUCCUCCCUGCAAGCUGGGGUUCACACUUGUUACCUGGCAGCCAGCCCCCGAGAAUAAAACUGGAAGCUGACCUGACAAGCCUCCCCAACGUGAAGCCCAGAACUGCACAGCGUCUUUCUACUGAAUCUGGUCAGUGAGAGCCAGUGAUGAGAAGCCGUAGGCCAGUCCAGACUCAGUGGAAGGAGAAACAGGCUCCACCUCGUGACUGGUGAGCUGGCUGUGAGUACAGCGAGAAGGAAUUGACGGCGGCUAUUUUUGGAGACUGUCAACUACAGAGGAGGGAGACAACAUAUGUAUAUAUGGACAAAUAAACAGUGAAGUACCAGACAGUAAUAAAAGCUGCCAGAGAACUGAAACAGGGUGUUUCGAUAGAGAACCACUCAGUAGCUCCUGUAGAUUGAGGGGAUUGUCAAAGAAGCUGUAUUUAAAUCACAAUUUGAAAGGCAAGAAGUGAUAGCCAUGUGAGGAUCCAGGCAGAAGGAAGAAUUAGCAAAAAGCUCUAACUGGGAGGGAGCCGGGCUUGUGUACAGAAUAGAAAGAAGGACCAGGUGUUAGGAGCGCGGACAGUGACAGAGUGCAGUUGGAAAUGAGGUCAGACAAUAGGAAGGACCAGAUCAAGUGCACUGUGGUAAGGAGGUUAGAUUUUAUUCCAAGAGCAGUCAGUGAAAAGCCAUUGAAGGUUUUAAACAGAGGAGGGACGUGGGACAACUUACAUCACUAACAGGUCACUCUGGCUGCCAUGUGGGGAACAGCCUGUGAAGUACAGAAGCCAGGCUGGUGAGGGCGCUACUGCAGGAGCCUGGACCAAGAGAUGGUGGCUUGUUUGGCUGCUGGCUGUUGGGAGGAGAAGCUGAAGCUGACUGUAGGUGCCUUGAGGACUGGAACCCAGUGCCUGGCUCCAUAAGUGAAGAAAGUGAGAAAUUUAAGAGAGCUGAUGCCACCACGUUUGUCAUGAUUUGCCCUGGGGGUGUGAAACCUGUGUAAGAUCAAAUCACAGCAGGAAGAUGGAUUUGAUAGGUGGUCCCUUUACCGAGUUCCUUCCUUCUCCUGAGCUGAUUCUAGGAGGCCAACCUCAUCCCUUCACAGGCCUUGCCAGCCUCCCACAGCAAGUACUUAUUUUCCCUUGAGCUCAGAAUUCUCCAGGAAGGGUCUGGCCUCUGCACACACCAAGUAUAAACAUCAUUGUUGAUGGAAAUCAGGAAAAUCUGAAAAGCCCACUUCAGCCAACACGAAGGUCACUGUGAUGUUUCAAGGUAAAUAAACUACA